UGGGGAAUAAGUUAGAGGUUUGUUAGGAGGGAUUUUCUAUAAAUAGGUCUCAUUAGGAGGGAAGAGGACAUGCUGAAUAUUGUGUGCUUUGUCAUUGGGAGAGAGUGAAACUCUUGAAAGCUCAUACUCAGGAGAGAUUCCAUCUCUCGAAAGUAAAAUUAUCUGAUUUGCUGUAAUUCUCAUCUUAUCAAUAUAAUCAUCAUUUUCUUUUUAUUUUCUGCCGCUGUUAGUGCUGUAAGCUAUGUCAGUUCCUAGCACGCCUCCAUGCCUUAAUCGUGCUUUUCCAUACACUGGUAUUGAGUUUAAAAAUUGGAUUUGUUUAGUGUAGAGAGUGUAGUUGAUGUGAAAGGUUAUUGAAUCUAGAAUCUGAUGUUGUGUAAGUAUGGUUGAGGAAAGGUAAUUAAUGACUAAUAAUUAAAUUGAUAACUAUCACUCCAUCCUUUUAUGAUUGAUGGCAUAGACCAAUAACAAUUCAACAAAGAAAAAAGUGGGGUUAGUGGACUACAUGUAAUUCUUGACUAAUUGGAGAGAAAAUUUGUCAUUUAACAUGCAUUUAUUCCAUUGCUAAUAUUUAUUUUCAUUGAUUGUUUGUAGAGUGACCUUGAUUCUUUUGUUGUUCAAGGUUAUACUUUAAUUUUAAAGGGCAAAAUUGUUCUUGUUGUUGUUGGACAGGUGAUGAUCUAUUCACCUUUGAUCACUCCAAUUCACGUCAUAUAUACAGUAAUGCACAUAUGCUAAGAUGGUGCACAAGUUGCAUUGAGUCUGCCAGGUACUGUGCUUGGCUUUUAUCCAAUCAAAGUUCUUUCUUCUGAAGACUGCAAUUGAGUGUUGAGAGAAAACUGGGUUUAGCUGGUAGAGAUGAAAGUCUCUACACUCCACUACUGUCAGUUCUAUCAAAUUCAAGCUUCUCAGAAAGGUAAUUUAUAGGUUUUGUAGAUUUGUAAUGAUUGAUAUGAUUCAAGUUCUUCUUUAAACAAUAAGCGUUGAUUAAAUUUUAUUAGUUUUAUGGAUUUGUUUCAUAUAAUUUCAUAAAUAUAAUGAUUGAUGGUAUUUUGAUUUUUGGGUCAUGUAAAUUUUGAUGAAUUAUUUGAGUUAAUGUCAUUUUUGGAAAUUUGAGAUUCUAAUUUUUCUGUGUAUUUUGUAUUGUAGGUAUUUAGUGAUUCGAACACUUUUGUUCCAAGGAAGCUUGUUCGAGUAAUUUUGUCUUUUUAAUUUUAUAGUUUUUUUUUUUUUUUUGGUGGAAUGAUAAUUGAAUAUUUCUAAAAAAUUUUAGUAAAUGAAUCAAGGGGUCUUUUUAAAAAUAAUAUGAAACUUUAAAUUUGGGGGUUAUUUUAACAAUUUUAAUUUUAAACCUGGGAUAUUAUGCAUUUAUGCUGUCAAAUAAUAUUAUGUUCUUCUAUGAUAAUGAAAAUAAUAGCUCUGUCACCCCACAAUUUCUAUGUUA